UUCCAAACGUGAUCUGAUUAUUGGGCUAUUGACCUCAUGAAAAUGGCGUCUGUCUAUCUUCAUUUUACUUUUUACACUUGACAUGCACUUUAAAGUCAGCGUGGAUAGGGCUUUCUGGAGACUGCUGUCCAGAUUAACUAUACAACUGCAAAUGUUCUGUAGCUCACUGUGACGUUUUUGAAUAGCAUAAGAGGAGUCAUCGAUACGCAUAUAAACAACAAUUAUUUGGGAGUCAGUCAGUCCAUUUCACAAGUGACGUUUUUCUUUUAAUAAUGGGUUCGAUGAAGAAGAUGUAGCAUGAUCGCGUUGAAUAAGGUGUUACCAUGGCUACUAUGGACACGCUGCUGCCUUUUCCUUGACAAUAACCCAGGUCGUGAUGUCCCACACCCGGUGCAUCGUGACGGUCUGGAGACAGAGCGCAACCACCAUCUGGUCCAUCUCAUCUGCUUUGCUGUGGGCUGCUGCAUUGUAAAGAGAGAGAGAGAGAAUGAGAGAGAGUGAAGAAGAUAAUGCGAGAGAGAACAAGAAAGAGAGAAAGAGAGAGGGAGAACAAGAGAGAAAGAAUGAGAGUGAGCUGGCCAAGGUUUUGGAUGUUUUACAGCAGG
rnacentral:lncRNA from 1 species